rnacentral:rRNA from 1 species
GACGAACGCUGGCGGCGUGCUUAACACAUGCAAGUCGAACGAUGACGACCGAGCUUGCUCGGUCUGAUUAGUGGCGAACGGGUGAGUAACACGUGAGCAACCUGCCCUUCACUCUGGGAUAACCUCGGGAAGUCGGGGCUAAUACCGGAUAUGAGCUCCUGUCGCAUGGCGGGUGUUGGAAAGUUUUUCGGUGAAGGAUGGGCUCGCGGCCUAUCAGUUUGUUGGUGGGGUAGUGGCUCACCAAGGCGAUGACGGGUAGCCGGCCUGAGAGGGCGACCGGCCACACUGGGACUGAGACACGGCCCAGACUCCUACGGGAGGCAGCAGUGGGGAAUAUUGCACAAUGGGCGAAAGCCUGAUGCAGCGACGCCGCGUGAGGGAUGACGGCCUUCGGGUUGUAAACCUCUUUCAGCAGGGAAGAAGCGAAAGUGACGGUACCUGCAGAAGAAGCGCCGGCUAACUACGUG